rnacentral:rRNA from 1 species
GAGUUUGAUCCUGGCUCAGGAUGAACGCUGGCGGCGUGCCUAAUACAUGCAAGUCGAGCGAACAGAUAAGGAGCUUGCUCCUUUGACGUUAGCGGCGGACGGGUGAGUAACACGUGGGUAACCUACCUAUAAGACUGGAAUAACUCCGGGAAACCGGGGCUAAUGCCGGAUAAUAUUUAGAACCGCAUGGUUCUAAGGUGAAAGAUGGUUUUGCUAUCACUUAUAGAUGGACCCGCGCCGUAUUAGCUAGUUGGUGGGGUAAUGGCUUACCAAGGCAACGAUACGUAGCCGACCUGAGAGGGUGAUCGGCCACACUGGAACUGAGACACGGUCCAGACUCCUACGGGAGGCAGCAGUAGGGAAUCUUCCGCAAUGGGCGAAAGCCUGACGGAGCAACGCCGCGUGAGUGAUGAAGGUCUUCGGAUCGUAAAACUCUGUUAUUAGGGAAGAACAAAUGUGUAAGUAACUGUGCACGUCUUGACGGUACCUAAUCAGAAAGCCACGGCUAACUACGUGCCA